UUUGAUGGCGACCGGCGCACGGGUGAGUAACACGUAUCCAACCUGCCGAUGACUCGGGGAUAGCCUUUCGAAAGAAAGAUUAAUACCCGAUGGCAUAGUUCUUCCGCAUGGUGGAACUAUUAAAGAAUUUCGGUCAUCGAUGGGGAUGCGUUCCAUUAGGUUGUUGGCGGGGUAACGGCCCACCAAGCCUUCGAUGGGUAGGGGUUCUGAGAGGAAGGUCCCCCACAUUGGAACUGAGACACGGUCCAAACUCCUACGGGAGGCAGCAUG
rnacentral:rRNA from 1 species